AUAUGUGUAGGAUGAUGUAAUAUGAAGUAUAACUUAAAAUAUUUGAUCAAAUGUUGAAGAAGUCACACAAGAUACCCAGAUGAAAUAGGGCUUCCAAGUCAAACAAACUUCAAACUCUUGAUGAUUUCUUGAUAAAAAUGAUAUGUGAAGAAUAUGGGGAUCCAUAUAUGAUGUCUAGAGUCAAUGUGAACCAUCUAUUGACUAGACUCCUUGCAUUGAGGGUCUUAAACCCUAAAUAUGAUCUUGAUGACGCAUAGGUGAGCACACACACUACUUACAAAAGAGUUAAACUAUACAUUGACAUAUUUUUGGUAUUUUGGUUAGUAAAUAAUGAAAAAAAAGUAUGAUACAAUCAAAAGUGUCUGGUGAUCUCUUCCAAUGCAAACCCAAUGAAUGAGGGGGUAAGUAGGAUACCAAGGUAUGAUCCCAAAGCCAAUGCAUAUAAUGAGAUAGCAUGAGGGAUCUUAGGAUCAAAAUUGGGGUAUUACAGUAGUAAACCCUAAUCGGUCCCAUAUAUAAAUGCUGAUGAAGUUGAGAUCAAUGGGACCUCACCGAACCUACAUCCGACGCAAGGUCCUUUUGGGACUCUCUCUCAUUUGGAGAAAUGAUCCAUUCAAGAAAAACCAAUAUGUGGCUGACAUCUUGUUUUCAAAAAUAAUUAAAAAAAUAUCUAAUAGAAGGAGGAAUUUGGAGGUCACUCAGAAAAAGAGGAGUUCAUUUUCAUUUUCUUCUUCGGAUCACUCCCUCCCUUCUUUUUUCAUCUCGUCGGUGACACAUACUUUCCUCUGUCUCUUGUUCACUUUCUUCAACCAUCAUACCAUAAAUCCAUCGCGUUGGAACUGCCACAAAAAAGUCACCCAUUAUACCUCCUAAUACCUACCCUAUAAAUUCUAAGCAAUUCUACAAUAUUCAGCAGUAACAACUCCACACUGAGAAAGCUCCCAAAUUUGCAGUAUUCCAUUCCAAAUGCUCCACUGAAAGCUCGUAUCCAUAGCUAUUAAAGCUUCAUGCUAAAGCUAUAAUUAAGCUUGAGCUAAUCCCCCAUCCACACAAUAGCAUAACGCAACAUGCAGAGAAAAAUAAGGAAGAAGGAAUCAACAUAAGGAAUUAGAGGAGAAGGGGAGAGUUAGAAAGAGUAAAGAAGAAAAAAGGAGAGAAGGAAAGCUGAAAAAGUAAGUUACAUGGACUUCUUUGGGUUUGCCGGAGUUUGAGUCGUCGCCGAAGUAACUCCAAUUCAGUAUCUCCUUUGACUUUUGCUGCAUUUUUCUUCUUGAUUAUUGUUGCUAGAUGUGAUGUUAUUAAUAUGCCUAUGCUAAUUGUACAUAAUUGUUGCUAAUGGGGACGAAUCAGACAAAUUUGUAGAGCUAGGGCUCUUAUUUUUGUAGCCUUAAUUUUUUAUGAUUCUUGUUGUGUUUGUAGUUUCUGAUGUUAGAAACAUGUUUAGGAGACUAAUUCAAGUAGGGUCUGUGUUAAAGAUUUUUGGAUUUGGGUAAGUUUUGGAGUUUCUGGGUAGAGCUUCAAGAACAUUCAUGUGUUCUUGAGGUUUUCUUGAUUUCAUUAAUAUUUUCCUGGGUAUAAAGGGCCAUUUGAUUCGAAAAAUGAGAUGUGAGUUUCGUUUGUGCAUUUCAAAGAGGAAGAGAGGGUGGAGAGAAGAGAGAGAGAAAAUCUCACAAAAUAAGAAAGUCAACUUGACUCUCCACUUAAGUACUCUCUCAUCUCACCCUCAGAUGAAGCCACAUGGCUUAAUUAAUCACCCUAAGAUCUCCACCUCAGGUGCCCAUGUGUGUGUUCCCCUAUGAUGCGUCCCAUAUAACUUUAGAUCCUGCCCUUCUGAUCGUGAUCGUGCGGCUCAUCGUAAUUCAAUAGUUUGACUGCGAAUUCGGGGCCUCUAUCAAAUUGGGAUUUCACUCUUGCUAGCACAUCUCCCUAUUUCGGUCUUGCACCCCCUGCUUGUGUGAGAAUUAUGGAGGUUGGGUCUCCCUCUUUGGGCUUUAAGCCUUGCACUUUUGUCUGUGGUUUGUACCCCGAUUCUCUUUUUAUUUUUAGUUUUUAUUUUGUUUUGGGUCAAACCCAUUUUUGUUUUAUUACUUGCACCACCAUGUGCAUAUUUUAUACCCUUUAUUAUUUUAUUUUAUUUUAUUUUUGAUUAAUUAAUUUUGAAUGAUUAAAAUAA
rnacentral:lncRNA from 1 species